AACAUUAUUUAAGAUCUAUCUGAGUCCGAAAAUUAGAAUUAUUAAAUAGUUUAUCUGUUGUUUCGGUGAAGACACAAGAAGCUGGAUUUAUUUGCAAAGCUCGGAUUGUCGAGGUCCUGCAACAAAAUGGAUGGUCUUUUAUCUUGCAUUGGACGCAGCAGGAAGCUAGAGAAAUCUGGCAGCUCUUUUCUUUGCAGCCGAUGUGUUAAUCCCAACGUCACCGGUGUGAUCAGGUACCUUGUGGAACUGUCAGUUGAUGAUGGGAAUGAUAGUACGACUUUUGUGGUGUUUGAAUGCUUAAGCUUACUAAGAAAGAUGCAGCUUCUCUAGCUCUUGAUGAGGGUGAAUGGUGGUGGCGGCCAGGAACUCCGUGAAUGUCUUAAAGAACUUGCUGGGAAGGAUUUUGUUUUCAAGAUACAUGUAACCCCAUACAAUUUCACCCCAAUCACCACACCUUCCCCGUUUCUGCAAUCAGCCCGUGAUUUUCAACACCACUGAAGGGAAAGGCGCUUACGCUUGUGCCAGCAACAUGGGUGCAGCUGGAGGCAAAGAAUGUGGACACAAACGCUCCCGAUGAGUGAGUUUCAAAGCUGUCAACGUCAACCCCGCAUAGCUUUCGUCAUUUUAAAAUUUCCUAAAUUAAUAUGCUUUACCUAUUUUGGACUUUUGCAAUGUUUUUUGCAUUUCCUUGAAUUUUUUUUUUGUCCAGCCAAUUACGGCAUAGCAACUCCUAUGAGGACUUUUGCAAUGUUUUCGUAUUUCCAGGUUUCGUUUUUUUUUGUCCAGCCAAUUACGGCAAUAGUAACUCUUAUGAGGAGAACAUUUUCUAAGUUUCAAUAUUAAAAA